AUAUGGACCACACCGCACAAAAAGUCCGCCCCUCCGACUCCUCUUCUCCUCUUAACUGAUGGAAUAAGUAAUAUUCGAGAGCCCUAAGCCCACUCAGACUUUGAAAACACACAUAGAUUUUAAGAUAUCCGUGUUUUGAGUUGUGAACCCCAACGGUUUUAGAAACAAUCGAUACAAACAGUUCUCAAGGGAGCUCUUCAAGGGACGAUUCUCACACCCCAAGGGAGAAGUACAGUUGAAAACAACUUUUUUGGGACGCUUUCUUUUCCGGGUUCUCGGUCAAAAACUGUCCCGGAGCAAAAAUGGAAGCAAAGCACGAGGUACAUUUUUCGAGCUUGUAAUUGCAAGUCGGUGUAAAACUCGUCUUUUUUCGUUUCCUUCUUAUUCAUCCCCUUCGCGUCAUGAGCCAUUGUUUAGUCAAAUAGAAAGCCAACAAAACCUUUUACGAUGAACGAGUCUCCCUUCUAGGGUUGGUAUUGUGUGUGGCUUUUAUUAGAACCGAAUGUUUGGUUAACAACCCUUCCAGGUUGCGCCGUAGCAUCAUCAUCAUGGUUGGUUGACAAGGCUAAUGACUUUAUCGAGACCUCGGAACAAGAUUGAUUGACUACGCUGCGAAACCUUUCCUCUGUUUGUUGACGUUUCACCCCUACUUUCACUCCAAUCUCACAGUACUACGCACGACUCAAAAUUCAAUUUUAAACUCGCUUUGUGUGUAUUGAUCCAUGUCGAUAGAUGGAAGGAGGGUUGGAUAUUAAUUUCGAAAUGGACUGCUCUGCUGGUCCAUAGGAUUCUCAUGGAUGCAAAUUUAUGUCCUCCCCUCAUGACCUCAGGGCUUCAUAUCAUCGCUUUCGAUGAGAUCAGCCACGUCUACGAGAGCAUUCUGAAUGGGACAAUGGGGACACAUAUCAAUAUCCUGGAGAGCUUGCCUUGAUCAGCAGCGCACUGCUUGAAAAAUCCAGACUUGAUGGCAGAUACAGAAUUGAUUGACAAAAGUAAAAUACCGUGUUUUCCGAACAGUGAAAAAUUGUCAUAUGCAUCGGAUAUGUUCUCAUGUCAAAGUAGAUUAUUGAUGAAGUGAAAUGGUCAUGACAUGGCUCUGUACAAAUCCCGGUAUAUUUUCCGUUUUCGAAAAGUAAGAAGUAAGUAAGUCUCUGUGAUAGUUUGGAUUUUUGGUGUUUAUUUUAAGAUUAUGGAGAGAUAGCGAGCCGGAUCCGUUUCCUUGUGUUUAAAAGUCCCAGACUUGGAUGGAGUGAUGUGUUUGAAACAACUUCAAACGGCUUUUGUGGCAGUGGAGGACUCGAUAAUCCAUCAAAGAAUGUCACUCUUCAUUACUCUUUGGGUUCACGGGAAGACGAUGAGCGAAAUUGCUUCGGGUGCUUUAAAUGCGUACAAUCUGGCCGUCAGAGUGGGCUUUCGGAAUACUUGUGCGUUGGCCCAGUGCAAAAACCUGAUGAGUAAGGCCAAUUGUUUUAUGAUACCAUGAGUAGUCCUUUGCA